UUCCUCUCGGGGUUUCACCUGGAGAGUUUCCAGUACUCUACCGGUCUCGGCUAUGGGAGGGAGAGUCAAGCAGAGGCCUGUCCAUUCCAUUCCUAGCUUGGGCAGUGGCUAGCAAGUGUAAGGCAAUCUGCUACAAGU